AUUGAACGCUGGCGGCAGGCCUAACACAUGCAAGUCGAGCGGAUGAAGGGAGCUUGCUCCUGGAUUCAGCGGCGGACGGGUGAGUAAUGCCUAGGAAUCUGCCUGGUAGUGGGGGAUAACGUCCGGAAACGGGCGCUAAUACCGCAUACGUCCUGAGGGAGAAAGUGGGGGAUCUUCGGACCUCACGCUAUUAGAUGAGCCUAGGUCGGAUUAGCUAGUUGGUGGGGUAAAGGCCUACCAAGGCGACGAUCCGUAACUGGUCUGAGAGGGUGAUCAGUCACACUGGAACUGAGACACGGUCCAGACUCCUACGGGAGGCAGCAGUGGGGAAUAUUGGACAAUGGGCGAAAGCCUGAUCCAGCCAUGCCGCGUGUGUGAAGAAGGUCUUCGGAUUGUAAAGCACUUUUAGUUGGGAGGAAGGGCAGUAAGAUAAUACCUGGCUGUUUUGACGGUACCUACAGAAUAAGCACCGGCUAACUUCGUG
rnacentral:rRNA from 1 species